rnacentral:rRNA from 1 species
UACGUGGGGUGCAAGCGUUAAUCGGAAUUACUGGGCGUAAAGCGUGCGCAGGCGGUUUGCUAAGACCGAUGUGAAAUCCCCGGGCUUAACCUGGGAACUGCAUUGGUGACUGGCAAGCUAGAGUGUGGCAGAGGGGGGUAGAAUUCCACGUGUAGCAGUGAAAUGCGUAGAGAUGUGGAGGAAUACCGAUGGCGAAGGCAGCCCCCUGGGCCAACACUGACGCUCAUGCACGAAAGCGUGGGGAGCAAACAGG